UGGGGAAUUUUGGACAAUGGGCGAAAGCCUGAUCCAGCAAUGCCGCGUGUGUGAAGAAGGCCUUCGGGUUGUAAAGCACUUUUGUCCGGAAAGAAAUCCUUGGCUCUAAUACAGUCGGGGGAUGACGGUACCGGAAGAAUAAGCACCAGCUAACUACGUGCCAGCAGCCGCGGUAAUACGUAGGGUGCAAGCGUUAAUCGGAAUUACUGGGCGUAAAGCGUGCGCAGGCGGUUUGCUAAGACCGAUGUGAAAUCCCCGGGCUCAACCUGGGAACUGCAUUGGUGACUGGCAGGCUAGAGUAUGGCAGAGGGGGGUAGAAUUCCACGUGUAGCAGUGAAAUGCGUAGAGAUGUGGAGGAAUACCGAUGGCGAAGGCAGCCCCCUGGGCCAAUACUGACGCUCAUGCACGAAAGCGUGGGGAGCAAACAGGAUUAGAUACCCUGGUAGUCCACGCCCUAAACGAUGUCAACUAGUUGUUGGGGAUUCAUUUCCUUAGUAACGUAGCUAACGCGUGAAGUUGACCGCCUGGGGAGUACGGUCGCAAGAUUAAAAGCUUAAA
rnacentral:rRNA from 1 species